GACCUUUUUAAGCGAUACAAUUCUCUAAAAUUUAGAGCAUAAAUGGAUCUUUAGCAUUUUUAAUAUAAAAAGGUUUUUUUUUUUCUUUUUUUUUUACAAUAAAGCUGCUGUUGCCUCCAGCACCGACGCACGUUUCUAGCCACUCUUCCAGCCAACCGCACCGCAUGAUCCCGCCAGCCGCUCAACCUUCUCCGAUCGCUAUUCUCCGCCGCAGUUCGCCAGCCCUGCAAGUCCGCCUGCGGAUCGUGGUGAAGCCCGCUACUGCCAUUGGUUCAGCACCUUCGUUCGCUAGAAUCUUGGGUUCUUGGAUCGAAGUUUCGAGGCAUUAUUCGACAUUGUCCAGCAGCUUUGAUGGUGAAAUUGGGGCGUUUUCGGCACAUUUUGUGGGUAAGAUUGUAGUUUUCAGAUGGUUGAAAUUUGGGUUUUUAGCCCUUGGAAUUAAGUAUCACACAUAAGAAUGGGUUACAAUUAUGGAUUGAUAUUAAAAUUGAUUUUUUAGGGAAACUUAGGAGUUUUACUCAAGAUAAAGAGGGAUUUGGUUUACUAAUUACCUAGACUUAAUAUGAAGAUCCUAUUGGGGUUGGCAUUCAUAAUUCACAAGAAUGUUUAAACAAUUCAAAUAUUGGUAGACUCUUGUCCAAAGGAGUUUCUUUGAAACCUGAACAAGAAGUUUUAUAUCAAGCUCAUCGGUAUGUUUUGGAAAAUAUAAUUGAUGUGCAACCAUAUUUAGAAAAACAUAUGAUGGCUUUGCAAUUGCAACAUCGAAAUAAGUCCAAAAAUCAGAAAUGGAUUCAAGAGGAGCAUAAUCAGACUUUUAUAUCUUGGCGAUGAGAAGAGAUUGAUACAAGGAAACCGUACUCAUAAAUCAAGUUAAAGGAGGUGCGGAUAGAGUCGGCUGAAUUUUUAGGUUGCUACAUGUGAUCGUGGUUGUUCAUUUUUGCUUAGAUUGUAUAUGUUGACAAUGUUAAAGAAGUUAAGUUUUUAUAAAGAGAUAUCGGUAGUUUUUUGUUCAUAUAUAAGUUGUCAAUGUGUGUAUAUUGUUUAUUUGAUUGAUGAAUGUACGCCAUAUAUAUACCAAAUAUGGUAGUUGGAUCAAAAUACAGGAGCAA